rnacentral:rRNA from 1 species
UACGGAGGGGGCAAGCGUUGUUCGGAAUCACUGGGCGUAAAGCGCUCGUAGGCGGCCUACUAAGUCAGACGUGAAAUCCCUCGGCUUAACCGGAGAACUGCCUCUGAUACUGGAGGGCUUGAGUUCGGGAGAGGGAUGCGGAAUUCCAGGUGUAGCGGUGAAAUGCGUAGAUAUCUGGAGGAACACCGGUGGCGAAGGCGGCACCCUGGACCGGCAUUGACGCUGAGGCGCGAAAGCCAGGGGAGCAAACGGG